CCAGGAUGGCCUCAAACUCACAGAGGUCCAGCUGCCUCUGCCUCUCGAGUGCUCUGACUCUGUCUCUUCCCAGAUCAAAUGCAAGAGUGGUCUGGAGUGUACAGUCUUGCCAGCAUGCUCAGCAUAGCCCCUUAACGAUUUCAGCAUCAGAAGGUCCAAGGAAGCAGUUUCCCACCCCUUUAAGGCUUCUUAAAAGUCUGAGGGAGAGCUGAGGCAAUGAUGGACCGGGCAGGCGGGUGGUGCUUCCAAGAUCAUCACCUGUUUGGGGGGAGGUAACCAUGCUCCUGAGCAUCGGGGUACCGGGUCUCCCACCCUUACACCUUGGCUGACACAAUGCCUCACAAUUAAGUGUCAUUGUCCUCUAAGGAAGCUGAGGUUCACGUGAUGUCAGCAAGGUCCUCUGCUUGGAUCCAGCAGCUGGCCAGGCAUCUGGAACUAUUCGAGGCUUGGCAGAAUGCAGAAGAAGCAGGAAGGGAAGGAACCGCUGUCAUAGCCUCUUCAGGUCCUCAUGUGCUUAGCAUUCACCAGACCCAGCCCGAGGAAGAAAAUGCUUUUGGCAACUUAAGGACAAAAUACCAAGCUCACAUUCAUGUUGCUCUUUAGAAUUUUCAGACCUCCCCCCCCACGAUACAUUAUCACAUUUGUGCUGUGCUCCCACUGCGCCAACAGUACGAGUAACAGUUCCGCACGGCACAGAAUGCAUAUUUUAAGCAAUAUUCACUUCAUCUAAUUUUGCGAUGGUACGACAGAACAACCCAGACCAUUCUUGUGAUUUGAUCGGGGAAGAGAGAGAUCCAAGGCAAUAGCCCUUUUGGCGCUAACAAGGAUGCUAGAUCUGUUGAGGAGGAAUUUUACAGAGAAAUUGGGUUUUCUGCAGUGUAUGCUCCUUUGAUGGGUCACAUCCAUAAGGGAGAUUCCAGAGACAUUGUGUGCUUUGUGACUGAAGUUGGUGACACAAAUCUCCCAGCAGAAUACUUAUAUGUGCAGAUAGAAUUUGCUUUUGAUAUCAAAAGUCAGCGAUGACAGUUUUAUCAAAAAAAUGUUUUAAAGGAUAUUAAGUUUUGACACUGUUCAGGCAAAUUAUAUUUGAGGUGACUUAAGAGUCAAAGAGCUUCCACAUUUUAAUAAAUUUUUAUAUGUUUUGUGCCAGAUUUACCAUCUGACUAGAUUAGGGAAAGAAGAAAAUGCAUUUGGGGAAGAGAGGGCGCUUAGGGGAUUUCAAAGUGGGGAAUAAAAUUUUUAAAAGGGAGAUAAAAAGAAAAAAAAAAAGAUGCUGCUAUGUGGAAGAUGUAGCCAGCGGCUUUUGAAACAGUAAGUCUUUAAAAGACAGGUCAACGACUGCAGCCAGACAUAUAAAAACCAUAUGUGGCGAAACUGGUCCAGUGUCUCACUUUAACCCCGGGGCCAGGCGUCAUCUGCAGAUUGGUGUCCUGGGGCAGAGUCUAGCCCCAGGGACUACUGUGUCAGGAAAGCAACCUUGGUGGGAGGCACUCUGAAAGAUUUUGUGCCAGCAGGGCAGGUCCUGUGAGACGCCACUGUGGACAUUGGCUCGCACGGGCAUCUCUUCCUGAUACAUGUGUACUUAAAUCACCAAGCAGGUGUUGUGAUAACUGGGCCUCUGCUCACAAGGACCUGCUGAAAUAAGCCAAGAGAACAGUGAGGCGGGUUGGAGCUGAGGAUGUAGCUGGGCGGUACACUCGUCUGGCCCAUGCAGCACGUGGGUUCUAUCCCUAGAAUGGGAGAGGGAAAGGGAAGUGGGAGGGAGAGAGAUGGUUUUACACUACACAUGAAAGCUAGCUGUGGUAGAGGAUGCCUUCAAUCCCAACCCUUAGGAGAUGGGUAGAUAGAUGGAUCUUCGUGAGUUCGAGACUAGCCUGGUCUAUAUAGGGAGUUCAAGGCCAGCUAAAGCUCCAUCAUGAAGAGAAAAAAGUACACCUGAGAAUGCAGGUUAGCUAAUAAACAGGGAGUCAGGAGAUACGAGUGGAUGUGUAAGACCUUGGGUUCUGCUCCUGCCGAUGCCUGUGGGAAGGAGCCGGAAGGAUGGUGAGCCCUACAGUUCCCGGUACUAGGGCCAGUCUGCAGCAUAGUCAAACACACACCCUUUUCCUGCUCUCUGUCUCUUUGUGUCUGUCUAUCUCUGCCUCUGUCCUCCUCUGUUUCUAUCUCUGUCUCUGUCUCGUGUGUGUGUGUGUGUGUGUGUGUGUGUGUGUGUGUGUGUGUGUGAUUAUAAGGAAGGCAUCUGUUACUGUUAGCAUGAAAUUUGUAAUUUUGAAAGUCAAUACCCAUGUGGACACAAACACCAAAGAGGGUCCUACACUGACCUGUGUGGCUGACUAGAAGAAUGUAGCCUCCCCUGUAUAGAUGUCGGCUGUGUAGGGUAGGUGGGGGAUGGGUAAGCCAUGUGGCAAAACCGCUUAGACACUGCCUGGCUCCUUGCUCAGGGAAUGCCACCCUUAAAGCAGCAGGCAUCUGCUGGCAGGCCUGAGCGUAGAAGCUGGAAAAGUAACAGAUUGGAGGGUGGAAGGGUGGGGAGGAGAAGAGAAUCCAAGCUUCUCUCUUCGACCAGCCUGGAGCCCUGCAGGUGAUGGGUUUGGGUAAGCACAUUCCUAUUGUUAAAGGGGCUGAAGGUAAAAUUGAGAAGGUCAUAUGGUGAGACCCAUGUGUGUGAGAUAUAUGCAUAUAUAUAUAUUUUUUUCUCCUGUCUCUAAAGAGACACUGCUUACUGACCCAACUUCAUACGGAUUAAUAGAUCUGUGUAUCUAAAUGUCUGUUUUAUCCUCUUGAGGAAAAGGAAAAAGCGCGUUGUCGUCAAACCAAGUGACCAGGGAGUUUCUCCUAGGAAAUAGGGAGGUUUGGGUAUAGAAGAGGCCAUCAGAACUUCAGGCAUACCAGAAGGUCUGGGAAGGACAGUGGGUCCCCCAGGGCCUGAGUACAAUUUCCAUGUCCCUCCCCACCCCCACCCCUGGCUCUCCAGUAGAAAUCAGCUACAAAUCUCAGCUUGUUGGGAACAGAUGGCCUUGGCUGACGAAUAAGCCACCGCAGGCUGCCCCACCUGUUCUGGAGCUGGGAUAAUCAGCUCGAGACAAACAUCGAUGCUGAAAUAACUCAUGGCGGCGGGGUGAUGAGCACGCCCGGAUUCCAACACUCUCGGAAAAGGAGAUCUGGUUCUGCUUCUAAUCCGGGUGUCACCUUGGUGUGACAUUGACUGGUGACUCACUACUCCAAGGCCCCCAUUCCUCCUCUGAAACCCAGGACUCCCUUCAGGUCAGUGGCAGUACAGGUGUUUUGCGGUUGCCACAAUGCCUGGGCUUGCCACUCACACUGAGUGGACAGAGGCUAGGGAUGCCAAGCCUGCAGCGCUCCAGAAGGUCACGCAGACACUGUGGCAUUUUCAUACACAGGAACAAACACUGAUUGGUGCACAGAGCUCCAGCAAUAAGCUCAGAGAGUUUCCCUAAACUUCUUUUAUCCUUCUUACUCUGUGAGGGAGAGAGCGGUUUCCCUUUGACGCUUCCUCUUUGAUGCUCCCUGCCCCACCGCCAUAAUAGACCAUAAGUCCCUUUGAGGAGGAGGGGCGGAGCUAUCUAAACAAUGGAAGGGUGCCCCUGGCCCUCGGACCGUUCCUAGGUUCCUACGUUCUCUCUUGGCCUUAGUAGCUUCGCAGCCCAGCAGCAGCCUGCUGCAUCCCCCGGGUACUGCAUAUAAAGCUCGUAAUAGCCUAUAAUGGAGCCUCAUGGAUAUUACAUGCUUCCAAAUCCCACAUUAUCUGGUCGUGGGGAUUAAAGGGAAGACUGGGAGGGGGUAGGAAUGCAGUGGGCCUGGGGGCCGGUGUCAGUACACAGAGCCUCGCAGCGUGCCCAAUCGAUUCGCCACGGCCCCCGCCUACCCACCAUUCAGGGUGUGAGAGUGACGCCAGCUCUGCCUCUUCAAAGCUCGGCUCAGGUUAGAGGAGGCAGAAUCUGCAGCCAGGAGCCAGUCUCCUUUCUGUAGCCUCCCCAGAGAACUUCAGAUUAGUUCUCAAGUCAUGAAAACUUGCCCAGUCAACUGCUUGGUCAACAAGAUAAUUAGGAAACCACCCCAAAGGCUAGAGGGUGUAGCUUAGAGGAGAGCAUUUGCCUAGCUCAGACCCAAGCACAAGGGCCUGGAUCCCAUCCCAGUAUCUCCAAAAGGAAAAGAAGAAGCACCCAGUGUUUUGUUUACCAUGCUGGGAGUGGAACGGGGGAAUUCCUACACACAAGACAAAUACCUCGCCAGGCAAGCCACACCCCCGGUCUGGGUCUGAGAUGUCUCUUUUUGUUUUGAUUUUCUCAAGAAAGGGACUUACUAUGCAUCCUAGACUGGCCUCAACCUCGAGGUCUUCCAGCCACCGUCUGCCAAGUGUUGGAUUUCAGGUAGAUGCUGCAUGUACUCAGGUGCCCUUGAACCUUUUUACCUGCUGGGCUCCAGGCUAAGUGGAAUUGUGGGAAAGACAUGGCUUACAGCUCUUCUAAGCAGUCACAUGUCAGCUCUCCGGUCCAGAGAAAGAUCCCAGAGUGUCUCUUAAGCUCUGCAUGCAAUAUCACAGCCUUGGUCUCUCCUGUACCCUGGCUUACUUCGCCUUCCUCCUUCCGCCUGGCCUUCCUUCUUUCCUUGAAUAGAACUCCAUUUACAGAGACGUAUUGUGUGGGGGAAAUGAACUUGUGCCAAGACAACGGGGAAAUCUGUCGAAUUAUGAAAUGCUGAGUGAUGUUCUAAUUCCCAAGCCGUCCUGUGGUGGAUGAAGGCAGAGCUCCCCAGCCCGAGGAGUAAUCACCGAGCUGAUUCCGCCGAAUGUAAUUGCUCCGAUUGUAAUCAUUUUGCUCCAGCUCUCUGCCCCUGUGGCAUUUAUUCCUUAGCCCAGAUAUUGAUCUAACAGUGGGAAAUUUUCCAUCUGAAUCCGUGAUGCCGGACCCUCCCCAAGUCCGAAGAUGUGUUUGGGAAAUUCUCAUUUUCCGUGGAUCACAGCUGAGCUAUUUGGCCUGAGGGAAACCGUGCACCGUUGGAGAAAUGCCUUGGAUUGGAGAGAGAUUUUUUUUUUUUUUUGACCAUUAUGAGCAAAUCGGAAAUAAAUGUAAAACACUGCCUGGAAAUGCAAAGGCCUGUCAUUAUGGGAGAUAGGUGAGGGGCUCCUGUGGGAAAUGCUCAGGGAAUUGGAAAUCAGUCAAUCAAAACCAGGAUCAGAAACCGGGCCUUUCCCCCAGUAUGAAGACAGAUGACUUCCACAGGCAGAUUGAAAAUCAUUUAAAUGCUUAUUUUCUUAAUGGUUUUUCCUGGAGCCCAAUAAAUAGACUACUGAUUCUGCAUCAAUUUCUUACGCCUGUGCUUAGGGACCCCCUCCUCCUUUUUUUUUUUUUUUUUUUUUUAAGCUCACACCCAAGCUACAAAGUUUAAGAAAAAAGGUGAAAGGGACAAAAGUCUCUCUACAGAGAGGGGGAAAACUAAGAAAUAAAUAGUCAGGGUGAGUCUAGAGAGGCACUGAGACCCUAGAGUUACCAGGGAACCCUAGCAAGUUUGCAACUCCCACCUCCCAGAAUGCCCGUCACCUUAAUAGGAAGCCCUUGGUAUGGACUACACCUUCCUCACGGCCCACUUCGCGCCAGCACUGAGAAGAGGCUGUUGAAGAACCCUCUGGACGGUUGACCCCUCUGUGUCCCAUGCCACAGGAGCUGGUGAUUAAUCAGGAAUCUCCAGCCGUUACUAAAGUAGGGCUAGCGGUCAGCGGGGAGAGGAGAACAGGGAGGGGGGGGGGUAGACAACUCUCCCUGAACCUUCCAUUUCCCAGCUCGGGGGCUCUGGCUGUCUUUGUCUUUGCUCCAGUUCAAAGUGCCAGCUCUCAGCAUCACCUUGGGGAAGGGCCCCCGUAAUGGCUGCUGUCUUUGUAGGUUUGGGAACGGCUUCUCUGUAUUUCAUCUUCUGCUCAGUGGGCCGAGGUGGAAUUGGUUAACAAAGAUUGCUCCAGGGAGGGGAUGUGGCUGACAAGCCAGACACUUCGCAGGCACAGGAAGCAGCAGCUGCGGAGGGGGCCACCAGGUUCUGCCAGCAGCUGUACUGCCUACGGCUGUGAUCUUGUCUGAUAUUGUCAGUGAAGCAGGGGCAGCCGGGGUCAGGAGCUGGAUAGUAGAACUCAAAGGGAGAAGGCGGGGCAGGAAAGAGCCGGUCUCAGAGCCUGGCUUUUCUAUUGGUACCAGCAUCCCGGCUGUACACAUCACAAAAGACUCAGGCCUUAUGAUCCGACACAAGUCAUUGUCUGUUCCCAGAAUAUAUGCAAAUAACCUUAGCCCACCCGUGUUUCAUACGCGCUUUCACAGGAAGCAGAACAGGAGAACUGGGCAACCUCCCCCCACCGCUGGCUCGGAAAGGUUUCUGCGGUUUUUCAAAUCAUCAUCAGAUGACAUUAAAUACAUUCAUUUCUAUCGUUUAUCUUACGGUAUUACGCCAGCGUGUCUAGAAGGAUCUAGAGAGAAGCUCGGACGACAAAGAUGAUGAAAUCAUUUAGAAAAUCAAAAUUAGGAGCAAAGCUAAGGCAAUUUGGAUGGCACUCAGCCCAAAGGUGGAGAAUCAGAUUCCAUUCCGAGAGCGGCGGUGUCUGUACUACAUCCCACACAGUACAGGGAAUAAAAAAAAAAAA
rnacentral:sRNA from 1 species